ACUCCUACGGGAGGCAUCAGUGGGGAAUCUUGCACAAUGGAGGAAACUCUGAUGCAGCGAUGCCGCGUGAGUGAAGAAGGCCUUUGGGUUGUAAAGCUCUUUUGUAGGGGAAGAUAAUGACUGUACCCUAAGAAUAAGGUCCGGCUAACUUCGUGCCAGCAGCCGCGGUAAUAC
rnacentral:rRNA from 1 species